AACCCAGGAUGAGGGCACCUUUUCAAAAGAUCCUUAAAUCUCUCUCAUGCAUCAUAUAAUGUCUCCAAAUAAAUUUGUGCCUAAGAAGAGAUGGCGUUCCUCAACCAU
rfam:Gossypium raimondii chromosome 10, whole genome shotgun sequence.